UAGUGGCGGACGGGUGAGUAACGCGUGAGCAACCUGCCUUACAGAGGGGGACAACAGUUGGAAACGACUGCUAAUACCGCAUGAUAUAUAUUGAGGGCAUCCUUGAUAUAUCAAAGAUUUAUCGCUGUAAGAUGGGCUCGCGUAUGAUUAGAUAGUUGGUGAGGUAACGGCUCACCAAGUCGACGAUCAUUAGCCGGACUGAGAGGUUGAACGGCCACAUUGGGACUGAGAUACGGCCCAGACUCC
rnacentral:rRNA from 1 species